AUUGAACGCUAGCGGCAGGCCUAACACAUGCAAGUCGAGCGAGCGGCGGACGGGUGAGUAAUUUAUGGGGACUGCCCGAUAGAGGGGGAUAACUACUGGAAACGGUAGCUAAUACCGCAUACUAUCGGAUUACCCAUAUGGGAUUAGCUAGUGGGUGAGGUAAUGGCUCACCAAGGCAACGAUCCGUAGCUGGUUUGAGAGGACGACCAGCAGCACUGGGACUGUGACACGGCCCAGACUCCUACGGAGGCAGCAGUGGGGAAUGUUGGACAAGGGGAGAAACCCUGAUCCAGCCAUCCCGCGUGUAUGAUGAAGGCCUUCGGGUUGUAAAGUACUUUUGGCAGAGAAGCGGGAUCUGAAGAAUAAGCACUGGCUAACUACGUGCCAGCAGCCGCGGUAAUAC
rnacentral:rRNA from 1 species